CAUUGGUUAAUUUUCCGAUCUCUGAUGUGCAUAUCCGAUCUGAUCUUUAAUAAAUCGUCAUUAGCCGAUCUGCGGCCCUGAAGAUUCGCACAAUCCGAUAACCCUAACUAGCCGAUCUCAUUUUAUUCGAUUUUAUUAUUGUGUUUCUGGAACCUUCCCGCGACGUGUCAAGAAAGCGGGUCGAUUUCGCUAACCGAAGCGCUGCUUAGGACUUCGUGAGCAUUAAAUGCUCGGACG
rnacentral:misc_RNA from 1 species